ACGCUGGCGGCGUGCCUAAUACAUGCAAGUCGAGCGAACGGACGAGAAGCUUGCUUCUCUGAUGUUAGCGGCGGACGGGUGAGUAACACGUGGAUAACCUACCUAUAAGACUGGGAUAACUUCGGGAAACCGGAGCUAAUACCGGAUAAUAUUUUGAACCGCAUGGUUCAAAAGUGAAAGACGGUCUUGCUGUCACUUAUAGAUGGAUCCGCGCUGCAUUAGCUAGUUGGUAAGGUAACGGCUUACCAAGGCAACGAUGCAUAGCCGACCUGAGAGGGUGAUCGGCCACACUGGAACUGAGACACGGUCCAGACUCCUACGGGAGGCAGCAGUAGGGAAUCUUCCGCAAUGGGCGAAAGCCUGACGGAGCAACGCCGCGUGAGUGAUGAAGGUCUUCGGAUCGUAAAACUCUGUUAUUAGGGAAGAACAUAUGUGUAAGUAACUGUGCACAUCUUGACGGUACCUAAUCAGAAAGCCACGGCUAACUACGUGCCAGCAGCCGCGGUAAUACGUAGGUGGCAAGCGUUAUCCGGAAUUAUUGGGCGUAAAGCGCGCGUAGGCGGUUUUUUAAGUCUGAUGUGAAAGCCCACGGCUCAACCGUGGAGGGUCAUUGGAAACUGGAAAACUUGAGUGCAGAAGAGGAAAGUGGAAUUCCAUGUGUAGCGGUGAAAUGCGCAGAGAUAUGGAGGAACACCAGUGGCGAAGGCGUCUUUCUGGUCUGUAACUGACGCUGAUGUGCGAAAGCGU
rnacentral:rRNA from 1 species